rnacentral:sRNA from 2 species
CGGCAUCAAACGACUAUCCCUUUUCACGGCGGGGGUGGAGGACCCAAAAUCGGCAGCCAGCCUGCCUUGGGGUGAAGCCGCGACGCCGGUGGUCAGAUGGCCACCGGGGUGCGGCCGGGCAUUUUCCUUGGCCCGAACCCGACAGCUAACUUCGCAGGCGAACGAAAGGAUCC